AACGAACGCUGGCGGCAGGCUUAACACAUGCAAGUCGAACGCCCGUAGCAAUACGGGAGUGGCGGACGGGUGAGUAACGCGUGGGAACGUACCCUGAGGUACGGAAUAACCGAGGGAAACUUCGGCUAAUACCGUAUGAGCCCCGCAAGGGGGAAAGAUUUAUCGCCUUGGGAGCGGCCCGCGUCGGAUUAGCUAGUUGGUGGGGUAACGGCCUACCAAGGCUUCGAUCCGUAGCUGGUCUGAGAGGACGAUCAGCCACACUGGGACUGAGACACGGCCCAGACUCCUACGGGAGGCAGCAGUGGGGAAUCUUGCGCAAUGGGGGCAACCCUGACGCAGCCAUGCCGCGUGAACGAUGAAGGCCUUAGGGUUGUAAAGUUCUUUUACCCGUGACGAUGAUGACGGUAACGGGGGAAUAAGCUCCGGCUAACUUCGUGCCAGCAGCCGCGGUAAUUCUCGCCGUGA
rnacentral:rRNA from 1 species